GAAGAUGUUGGUAACUCAAUACGACAGGAUGUUCUGCGAUAUGUCUAGAUAUGCGCCGGAACAAGUUGACACAGAUGAGAAGAUGGCUGAAAAGUUUUGUGCCGGACUGAGGCAAGAGAUUAGAAUGGCUUGGGCAAGCCAUGGUGGAUCGUCUUACGUGGAGUCGCUUAGCAAAGCGUUAUGCAUUGAGGCAGCAAUGCUGGGAGAGAUACCAGCAACUGCGCCUACGUCUGCACCUCCACAAACUCGGG
rnacentral:lncRNA from 1 species